UUCCAAGGCCAGUCAGGUUACUAUAUUUCCAAGGCCAGUCAGGUUACUAUAUUUCCAAGGCCAGUCAGGUUACUGUAUUUCCAAGGCCAGUCAGGUUACUGUAUUUCCAAGGCCAGUCAGGUUACUAUAUUUCCAAGGCCAGCCAGGUUACUAUAUUUCCAAGGCCAGCCAGGUUACUAUAUUUCCAAGGCCAGCCAGGUUACUAUAUUUCCAAGGCCAGCCAGGUUACUAUAUUUCCAAGGCCAGUCAGGUUACUAUAUUUCCAAGGCCAGCCAGGUUACUAUAUUUCCAAGGCCACAGCACUCAGGUUUACUUAUUUCCAAGGCCUCAGAGGAGUGAUUAGCAAGGUUACUAUAUUUCCAAGGCCAGUCAGGUUACUAUAUUUCCAGGGCCACAGCACUCAGAUUUACUUAUUUCCAAGGCCUCAGAGGAAUGAUUAGCAAGGUUACAAUAUUUCCAAGGCCAGUCAGGUUACAAUAUUUCCAAGGCCUGUCAGGUUUACAUAUUUCUAAGGCCACAGAAAAGAGCUUAGUCAGGUUAAUGUAUUUCCAGCUAGGUUUGCAGAGAGGUUCAUCAGGUUUAAUGUAUUUCCAAGGGCCACAGAGAGAUAAUAUUCAGGUUAAUGUAUUUCCAAGGGUGUAGAAAAGAGAUCAGUCAGGUUUGCAGAGAGACUAGUAAGGUUUAAUGUAUUUCCAAGGCCACAGAAGAGAUAAAAGCCAAGUUAUAAUAUUUCCAAGGCCACAGAAGAGAUGAUUGUCAGGUUACAGUAUUUCCAAGGCUACAGCAGACAUAUUUGACAGGUUCCAAGGCCACAGAAGAGAUGAGAGUCAGGUUACAGUAUUUCCAAGGCUUCAACAGAGAUAUUUGACAGGUUAUUUCCAAGGCCACAGAGAUAAAAGUCAGGUUACAGUAUUUCCAAGGCUACAACAGAGAUAUUUGACAGGUUAUUUCCAAGGCCACAGAAGAAAUGAUAGUCAGGUUGCAAUAUAUCCAAGGCCACAACAGAGAUAUUUGACAGGUUAUUUCCAAGGCCACAGCAGACAUAUUUGACAGGUUAUUUCCAAGGCCACAGAAGAAAUGAUAGUCAGGUUGCAAUAUAUCCAGGUUGCAAUAUAUCCAAGGCCACAACAGAGAUAUUUGACAGGUUAUUUCCAAGGCCACAGAGAUCAUAGUCAGGUUAUAGUAUUUCCAAGGGCUACAACAGAGAUAUUUGACAUUUUAUUUCCAAGGCCACAGAGAUCAUAGUCAGGUUAUAGUAUUUCCAAGGGCUACAACAGAGAUAUUUGACAGGUUAUUUCCAAGGGCUACAGCAGAGAUAUUUGACAGGUUAUUUCCAAGGCCACAGAGAUCAUAGUUAGGAUAUAGUAUUUCCAAGGGCUACAACAGAGAUAUUUGACAGGUUAUUUCCAAGGCCAAAGACGAGAUAUUUGACAGGUUAUUUCCAAGGCCACAACAGAGAUAUUUGACAGGUUAUUUCCAAGGCCACAGAGAUCAUAGUCAAGUUGCAAUAUUUCCAAGGCCACAACAGAGAUAUUUGACAGGUUAUUUCCAAGGCCACAACAGAG